UACGGAGGGUGCAAGCGUUAUCCGGAAUCACUGGGUUUAAAGGGUGCGUAGGCGGGGGAUUAAGUCAGUGGUGAAAUCUUGUCGCUUAACGAUAAAAUUGCCAUUGAUACUGAUCUUCUUGAAUUGGGUUGAGGUUAGCGGAAUGUGACAUGUAGCGGUGAAAUGCAUAGAUAUGUCAUGGAACACCAAUUGCGAAGGCAGCUAGCUGGGCCUUGAUUGACGCUGAGGCACGAAAGCGUGGGUAGCGAACAGG
rnacentral:rRNA from 1 species